rnacentral:lncRNA from 1 species
ACUGUAGCUUGUGAAAUCCUGCUUGUUCUGCUGAGCCAAGAUUCAGGGUUCAUGUACUUACUGAUCAGUGGCCCAUGGAGCUACUUCCAUUGUAUGAGGAGGUGAAAUCAGCUUUUGCUUGACCAGGUAACCAUUGUUACUGUUGCUCCCCACUUACUUGUCUCUCAGAUAUUUGGCUCCUUUACUAUAAUGGGGAUACUGGUGGUCAGUGUCAGAUCAGCAAGUGCAUACCUUGACAGGAACAAAGAAUUGAACAUCCAGGAAAGACAAAAGAAUUGAAAGUCUGGGAAAGAUAAAAGAACAAGCUACAGAAAAGGGGAAAGUCACAGGUUUGUCCUUCUGUAUGAGAGGAGCCCCAAGGCUUGAAGCUGGAUUGUAUGUUUUAUGGGAUCCUGGGUCUUCCCAUCUCCCUUGUGUGUAACCAACUCUCCCACAGUAUUUGCUCAUUUGACUGUAUGGUCCUCCUAUCAGUGCCAGAGUCAUCAAUAUUGUCUUAGAGGGUGGGGCUGAAUCUAUUUUAGUCUUUUUCUAGAAUCCAUGGAAGGCUGUGUGUCGCUGCAUGUGCUCUCCAGGAAGGAGGAAUGGACUUUGGUGGAGGCUGUUAGCACGCUCCCACAGAGAAAUGGCAUGUCAAAAACAUUCCCUGGUUUUCCACACUUAAAAUUUUGUCUUUGAGCUAUAGCAAAAAUAUUAAAAUAGAAAGUGUUUUUGAGCCUCUAACAUUCAGGCUUGAGUUAGGCUUGAGUUCAGAUCUAAAAGAAAGCCAUUACCCCUACAAACACACACACACACACACACACACAGAGAGAGAGAGAGACAGACAGACAGACAGACAGACAGACAGACAGAGAUAGAGACAGAGACAGAGACAGAGACAGAGAGACAGAGAAUGUGUGAGAGAGAAGUUUUCUUGGAGGUGCAGGAUGUUUCAAGC